rnacentral:lncRNA from 1 species
CCGGCAAUAGAUCGGUGUGGUUCACUCAGUUGGUCGAUGAAGAAUCGAAGCCGCAUAUUCAGUUGACGAAGAGUCGGAGUUCUAUGUCCGAUCGAUCGACUAUUGUUGAGUCAGAGUCAAUAGUCGGUUGAACUGAAUCGGAGGUCGAUUGACUUACCCCAACAGUUACCCCCACUCUCAAGUCCAAAGUGAUUCGACGUGUAUAUUACCACGUAGUUUGUCAC